rnacentral:tRNA from 1 species
GCCCUUGUAGCUCAGUGGUAGAGCACCUCCAUGGUAAGGAGGGGGUCCGCGGUUCAAGUCCGCGCGAGGGCU